CAGUUGGGCACUUUAAGGUGACUGCCGGUGACAAACCGGAGGAAGGUGGGGAUGCGUCAAAUCAUCAUGCCCCUUAUCCUUGGCUACACUGCUACAAUGGACAGAACAAAGGGCACGAAACCCGAGGUUAAGCCAAUCAAAUCUGUUUCAGUUUGGAUCGCAGUGCAACUUGACUGCGUGAAGCUGGAAUCGCUUGUAAUCGCGGAUCAGCAUGCCGCGGUGAAUACGUUCCCGGGCCUUGUACACACCGCCCGUCACACCACGAGAGUUUGUAACACCCGAAGUCGGUGAGGUAACCUUUAUGGAGCCAGCCGCCGAAGGUGGGACAGAUGAUUGGGGUGAA
rnacentral:rRNA from 1 species